UAGGGAAUAUUGGUUAAUGUGCGAAAGCGCGAACCAGCAACGCCGCGUGUGCGAUGAAGGCCUUCGGGUCGUAAAGCACUUUUUGCAGGGAAGAGGAAGGACGGUACCUGCAGAAUAAGUCUCGGCUAACUACGUGCCAGCAGCCGCGGUAAAACGUAGGAGACGAGCGUUAUCCGGAUUUACUGGGCGUAAAGCGCGUGCAGGCGGCAUGGCAAGUUGGAUGUGAAAGCUCCCGGCUUAACUGGGAGAGGUCGUUCAAUACUGCC
rnacentral:rRNA from 1 species